AAAAAGACAAACCCUGGGUUUUCGUAUCCAACGUUUGAUUGUCCGUCUUAUAUGAAUUUUUUUAUAAUUGGUAUUUUUAUUGUUGUUAGAUGAUAAAACAUGAUUAAUAAUUUAUGUGUGACUUGUCUUUUUAAUUUUUUCAAGUAAGACGGACAGUCAAACGUUGGACACGGAAAUUUAGAGUUUGUCUUUUU
rnacentral:pre_miRNA from 1 species